rnacentral:rRNA from 1 species
UGGGGAAUAUUGGACAAUGGGGGCAACCCUGAUCCAGCGACGCCGCGUGGGUGAUGAAGGCCUUCGGGUCGUAAAGCCCUGUCGGGGGGGAAGAAACUCCUGCCGGUAAAUAAUCGGCGGGAUUGACGGUACUCCCUAAGGAAGCACCGGCUAACUCCGUGCCAGCAGCCGCGGUAAGACGGAGGGUGCAAGCGUUGUUCGGAAUUACUGGGCGUAAAGGGCGCGUAGGUGGCCCGUUAAGUUCGGUGUGAAAGCCCCUGGCUCAACUGGGGAAGUGCGCCGGAUACUGGCGGGCUAGAGUACCGGAGAGGAGGGUGGAAUUCCUGGUGUAGCGGUGAAAUGCGUAGAUAUCAGGAGGAACACCGGUGGCGAAGGCGGCCCUCUGGACGAGUACUGACACUGAGGCGCGACAGCGUGGGGAUCAAACAGG